UACGUAGGGUGCAAGCGUUGUCCGGAAUUAUUGGGCGUAAAGAGCUCGUAGGCGGUCUGUCGCGUCUGCCGUGAAAAUCCGGGGCUCAACCCCGGACUUGCGGUGGGUACGGGCAGACUAGAGUGUGGUAGGGGAGACUGGAAUUCCUGGUGUAGCGGUGAAAUGCGCAGAUAUCAGGAGGAACACCGAUGGCGAAGGCAGGUCUCUGGGCCACUACUGACGCUGAGAAGCGAAAGCGUGGGGAGCGAACAGG
rnacentral:rRNA from 1 species